rnacentral:misc_RNA from 1 species
UUAAGUUCAGCGGGUAGUCCUACCUGAUUUGAGGUUAAAGGUUCAAAAUUGUCCAUUACAGACGGUUAUAAGCAGGUUCCCACAAGUUUUGCUUCACAGUACAAACGGCGUAGAUAAUUAUCACACCAAGUGACCGUCCACAAAGGAUCCCACUAAUGCUUUUAAAGGGAGCAGACCAUCCACUGAAGGAAGCCAGCAAA